UACGGGGGGAGCAAGCGUUGUUCGGAUUUACUGGGCGUAAAGGGCGCGUAGGCGGUCAGCACAAGUCAGUUGUGAAAUCUCCGGGCUUAACUCGGAAAGGUCAACUGAUACUGUGCGACUAGAGUGCAGAAGGGGCAACUGGAAUUCCCGGUGUAGCGGUGAAAUGCGCAGAUAUCGGGAGGAACACCAAUGGCGAAGGCAGCUCGCUGGGACGUUACUGACGCUGAGACGCGAAAGCGUGGGGAGCA
rnacentral:rRNA from 1 species